CUAAAAAUACAUGUAAUAAUGAGCUCAUUAACAAUUCACAGUGGGUGAAUUUCCAGUAAUUUUAAGAUUGUCAGUAAAGAUUUGUAAAUUUCCCAGAAGUCUGGGAGUGACAAGCCUGUGGGAAAGAAGUGGCUUGGGAAGGAAAGCUAUACAGAACUUCAAUAAGCACAAGGCUUUCAGAUUCAAAUUACUUUAAUUAAUUAGAUCUUUGUCUUCCUUUUGUCUUCUUUCUACAUAUUUAAAAAAUAUUUUUAACUUGCCCUACUUCAAUAGUAUUAUCAUGAUAUAUGAAAUACUGAGUGUGAAACUUAUUGGUUUUUGUGGUACUGGGGAUCAAACCCAGGACCUUGCACAUGUUAGGCAAGUGCUCUACCAUUGAGCUAUGUCCUUAGCCCUUUUAUUUUGAGACAGGGUCUCAUCAAGUUGCCAGGAUGGCCUUGAACUUAAAUCAGUCUUCUGAGUUGCUGGGAUUAUAAGCAUGUGCCACUGUGCUAGGCAAAAAUUCUUUAAACUGUAUAGUACUGUAUCAAUGUGAGGCAUUGGUGGGAAAUAGAAGAUGGGGUCUCCGUCCUCAAAGAAUAAUCUGGAAAGGCUUCCAAAAACUUAGUACAUUUGAGGACCACUGCCCUCUGCUAAUCUGCGUGCCCUGGAGAUACUGGCUCAUCCAUAGCUGUAAAGAAGGAUGAGGGAGAUGGCCUGGCUUCACUCAGGGCUCCUUUCCAGGAGAUAGAUAAAGGCCAAGAGCCUGCCUGCAUUAGAAGGUCCUGUAGUACUGAAAAAUCCCAGAAGGAGGCAACCUUAUCUCAGCCCCAGCCAUGAGUUUAAGGUAACCAUCAAAGCCAGUUUGGUUUUUCUUUUGAAAGUUAAAACAUUUGAUAAUUUUAUUUUUAAACUUAUUUUUUAAUGCUUUUUUAUGGUGCUGUGAAUUGAACCCUGUGCUUCAUGCAUACUAGGCAAAUGCUCUACCACUGAUUACUCCAUUGAAAUUUGUAAUUUAUGUUAUUUUUAAAAAAUUUUAAUCGACACAUAGUUAUACAUAUUCAUGGGUAAUAGUGUAAUAUUUUGAUGCAGGUAUACAAUUUUCAAAUCAGGUUAAUUAGCAUAUUCACCACCUUGAACAUUUAUCAUUUCUUUGUAUUAGAAAAAUUCAAAACCCUCUCUUUCAGAUAUUUUGAAAUAUAAAAUCAAUUAUGUUUACCAUUGUCACUCUAUUAUGCUAGAACUUAAUCCUCCUAUAACUGUAUUUUUAUAUGUUAACCAACCAGCCCUUCU
rnacentral:lncRNA from 1 species